GACGAACGCUGGCGGCGUGCCUAAUACAUGCAAGUCGAACGCAGUUGCGAACGGGUGAGUAACGCGUAGGUAACUGCCUCAUAGCGGGGGAUAACUAUUGGAAACGAUAGCUAAUACCGCAUACUGUGAGAUGUACCUGCGUUGUAUUAGCUAGUUGGCGAGGUAAAGGCGCACCAAGGCGACGAUCCAUAGCCGCACUGAGAGGGUGGUUCGCCACACUGGGAAUUGGACACGGCACAGACGCCUAAGGGAGGGAGCCGUAGGGAAUCUGGGGGAAUGGGCGGAAGUCUGAGCGAGCAACGCCGCGUGAGUGAAGAAGGUUUUCGGAUCGUAAAGCUCGGUUGUUAGAGAAGCGGUAACUGACCAAAAAGCGACGGCUAACUACGUGCCAGCAGCCGCGGUAAUUC
rnacentral:rRNA from 1 species